rnacentral:lncRNA from 1 species
CCACAGUGCGACUGAACUGGUCGCUCUCCCCUAAACCCACCUCUGCCAUGUGGUAAUGAAUUCCAUAGUUUAAUUAUGACUAAGUGAUGAAGUACUUCCUUUGUCUGACCUGAAUAUUUCAACAUUCAAUUUCAUGGGAUGGUUUUGGGUUCUACUAUUAUGAGAGCAGGAGAAAGGCAUCUCUUUAUCCACCAUACAUAAUCCUUUAUUUAUUUUUAAGCCAUUAAAAAUCCAAUGUUGCAACCUUUCUUCAUAACAGAGUUGUUCCUUUUUUAUUACCCUUUUCUGAAACAUUUUCUGCUCUAAAAUGCCCAUUCUGAGGUGCAGUGACCAGAAUUGAACACAGUAUUCCAAGCAGAGUAGCACCAUAGAUUUGUAUAAAUACAUAAAUACAUAUAAAUACAUAAUGAUACUGGCAGCUUUAUUUUGAAACCCUUUCUUAAUAACCCCCAAUAUGAAAUUCACAUUUUUCACAAUCGCCACACACUGGCUUCACAUUCACAUUGAGAUUUCUCUGCUAUUUCAGGUGCCACUUAUCCAUACAGUUUGGGGAGCGCCUUUCCCUUUUUGUUCUUACCCACCCUGAACAAUUUAGUAUUAUCAGCAAACAAAAGACUCCUCGUCCCUAAUUCCAUGCCACGUAUGACCAAGAUAAAAAAGCAACAGUCCUAGUAUUGAUGCUUGAGAGAUCUCACUUCCUACACCCUCCAUUGUGAGCACUGCUCAUUUCUUCUGACUCCAAGUUUCCUGUUCUUUAAUGAGUUACUGAUUCAUAAGAGGACCUGGCUUCUUAUCCCAUGACUUCUAUGCUUACUAAGGAAUCUUUAGUGAGGGACUUUACCAAAGGCUAUUUGAAAGUGUAUGUAGACAGUGUCUACUAGGUGACUCCUACCCAUAUGGUUAUUAACGCUCUCAAAAAAUGCUAAAUGGUCAGUUAGUCAGGUCUUACCCUUUAAAAACCAUGCUGGUUCUUCUUCAGCAAGACCUGUUCUUCUUCUAUACACUUGGCAAUUCUAUCCUUGAUCAUGUUUUCCACAAGUUUUCCCAGAACAGAUGUUAACCUAACUGGCUUGCAGUUACACCAUUCCCUGUCCACCUUGAGAAGUUUGCAUCCAGAGAUAGUCAUGCAGGCAGAUAGUUUUACAUGUGAUCUUAGACGCAAUAUAGUGAAUAGCACCUCAAAGCCACCUGUAUUCCUGUUAUUGUUGUUUAUUGAGUUAAUUGCUUUGAAGCUUGGGAUUGGUUGGUUUUAAAAAGUGAGAGGAGCAUAGUCUGUCUGGCCUCCUUGCCUUGCUGCUGAAUUUGCUUGUUACCUUGUAUCUACAAAUAGUAUAAGGUGGGAGCAUCCAGAAAGUCAGUCCUUUCAUAUGAUUUGCUACUGAUAGUUACAUGAAUGGGCAGUGGCGACUAUUUGGGGCUCUACUUCCUGUUUUUAUUCCCUACACGAAAGCUUGGACCACACUGAGGAAGAGCAAACCUUCCUACGAUUGGUUUGUACAGAAACUUCACAAUGUCCCUUCUCCCAAAUACUGUCCUAAUAUCCCUCCUUCAUUAUUAGACUUUUACAUUUGCCUUUCAAAAGGAAGGAAUGACUUAGUGCAUACAACAAAGAGUUUGGGGUGAAGAGAGACAGAACUAUUUGUACCCUAAAAUGCAAAUCUGACAUGUAGGGAAGUGAUAUCGAAAUCAGUGAGAUUUAAGGUUGCUUCUUAUAUUCCUUUUUUCAGGUGUACACAGACUAGAAUACAGGAAGGGCUAUAUUGGUCUGUCUUUCAGAAAAGAGGCAUGCUUCAAAGCUCUUAGCUGGGCAAAGAUGCAUGCAUAAUCCUUUAAGGUGAGAUAUGAAUUUUAAGACACAUGCGUAGUAAGACAUAUUUAGGAAAAUAACACCAGAAACAGUUUUUGUUUCCAAUAACCCAGUCUCUUCACAAUUACAGUUUUGAAGUAAAAAGAGUUUAUUUUAUCCAUGGGGUUAGUACCGCCCAUGCCUGGCCAUAGGUUUAUAUAUAUAUUUUUUAAGUCCACAUGAGAUGGACUUUUACUUUUGGUUAUCGUCUGUUCAUCUGCUUUUGCACCUGCCCAUUCAUAUCCAUGAGAGCAUUCACAAUCUUGAGUUAUUAAUCCAAGAAUCAACAUCAAAACAGAUUGGUAUGACCACUCUCUAUAUAAUAAUGGGCAGGAGUAAGCAGCACCGAUAGAUUUGUGUUUUUCUCCCCACCCUUGUCCCAUGGCUGAUGGCAAACCACUUUUGAAACCGAACAGAGAGCUGGGUGCAAGGCAAGGUGGGAGAAAGCAUUUGACUUACACCACCACUGAGUGGCCGUCAAGGUUGGAGGAAGUCCCAUUGUCCUUACUAGAAGGCCUGGCAGAACAUUUCUGGCCAUUCACAAGCUGUGCUUUCAAGAGUGUUGGUAGACCACAGUGCUAGUGGAGCUACUGCCAACCUCACCUGCCACCAUUUAUCCAGGUUGAUCCUCAAUCAGUAUUUUUCUUACAACAGAUGGUUGCUCAUGUCAUGUAUUCUGUGAUUCUUUUUUGCGACCAUAUGUCAUGUUUGUAAGAUAAACAUAGGUCUUUAAAAUCAAUCAAUCAAUCAAUCAAUCAAUCAAUCAAUCCAUGGGCCAACAUAAGCUCCUUGCCCUGGGGGUUUGCAUCCGUUUGGAUGUUGGUCAUCAUGGACAGAGGGAACAGAGGUUGGGGGAGAAUCCACGGGCUGCAAUUCUGUGCAGACUUACUUGGCAACACAUCCCAUUGAAACUGGUGGAACUCACUUCUGAGAGCACAUGCUUAGGUUCAGGGUAUGUGUAUAAUGCCCUUAUCAUGUGGUUAUGUGAUUGAGAAAGCAGCACACACACACAGACGAAAAUGUGCAGGCUUCUUUUAAAACUUGAUACUGAGGCCUUCAAGUACAGAUAAAAUGAGAUGAAGCUGCUAUCUCACUUGCAUGUUUCAACUGAUAAAUUAAAAAACACACACACAUUUCUUGUAUAAAACCUAACAUGCACAGGAGAUAAAUAAGUAGAUCCUGUAGAGAAAAGUCAAGAAGUAAUGCCCUGUGUAUUUUAGUGCCAUUGUGUAAGUAACGAUGCUUCAGUUUUCUUUAUCCCAAACAAGCCUUUUCCUUCUUCUUUGUCUUGAGCAACAUUCUCCCAAUUUAACUUCCAAGAUUCUAUGGGGAGGUGAAAUUCAGCUUUGCGGAAAACAGUCUCGAAGCCAAAAGAUCCUUCUGACAAUAAUGAUCCCUCCUUAAAUGAGCCGGUUUUAUUUCUCAGCUGGGGGAGAGAGAAAGGAAAGCCUUUACAACUGUGGUCACCUGGGUUGUAAAAUAAAGAAAAUAAAGUCAUCUUCAGCUUGGAAACUGGACAAAUAUUUUUAUAUCGUUAUGCCAAGCAUUCCUCCUGCUUUUUUUUUUUUUAAAAAAAAAACAUGUUUUUCUUGUUGGCAUACUUGCCAGUUCGGUUGUAAAUGUAUUUUAGAAUAGAUGUCUUUGAACAUUACAGUACCACCACUUUCUCCUCUCCUGAAGUUGACUCAAUAUUUCAGUUUAAACGAUUUACAGGAAAGCCUGCAGUCCUACAAAUGCUUACAUGGGAGUAAAAUCUCACCGAAAACAGUAAAUUUCGCUGCUGAGUAAACUUGCACAAGAUUAAGUUGUAUGACUGCCAUCCCAGGAACAUGCAGGGAAGGGUCAAAGGCGCCUUUGAACCCAGUAGGAACCCAGGGAGAUCUACAUCUGAGAACGUAGGCAUAGGAUCAAGCUGCACAUCAGCUGAAGCCAAACUCAGUUUACCUGAACUGUUAAAUCAGGUUGCUGAGUUUCAGCCCACAUCCUCAAUAGUUUCAAAUUAAUUCAAAAAGCCUCAGUGGAACUUCAGCGGAAUAAUUUUGGAGUCAGUGAUUUGUAGCCUUUGUGAUUAAGCAAAUUCUCAGCUAGAAGGAUUAGAUUUCAUGCAGACACAAGAAGAAAGCAUGUUAACUAUCUGUAACAUAUAAAGAAACCUAUCAGGAGUUGCUUCAGAGCUAAUGCACACAUACACACACAAUUCUGUGUGUGUGUGUGUGUGUGUGUGUGUGUGUGCGCGCGCGCGCGUGCGCACGUGUGUAUUUUACUUCCAGAAAAUGCCAGUCAAGAUUUUAUGGACAAAUGUUUGUCUGUGAAACCUGAGGAUGUUUAUAGCAUGUACGUAAUAGGUUCAGGCCUCUGUGAGGGAGACCAUGAACUAAGGCUUCCUGCUGAGAAGAACAUAAGUUUUAGGGGGGGAAAGAGAAAAACUAGGAGUCUUGUUUCUUCCAAAGAUUUCCUCCUACCCCUCCCUUCCUAAAGCCAGUUGUCACUAGCUAAUGCCCAAUAAUUCUGUAGAACUUGAGAAGAGUAAUAAAUAUGCAGGGCUGUGUUUUGUGUACUUUAAAAUUAUCCUUUAAUUUUUGUAAACAGUACAACUGGAACAUUUGUAAAUUGUUAUUACCAGCACCACCAUACCUUGCCCCAGGGCAAUAAUUUCAAAGCACCGCAUCACACACUAUCAAAAUAAAUUUGUGAAAGAAGGAGUAAACAAUUGAAACUGGGUCCAGUAACCAAUUUGUACUAUCGCUUGGCACAAAUGCAGUUCCACAGGUUCCAUUUCACUUACUUCAAAUUUUAACCCCAAUUCAAAUAAUGUGAGUUUUCUUUUGGUACCUUUGGUUCACGUGAGAUUCCAACUCCCCACUCCCAACCCCCACAAAUAAUAUUGUGGCAAGAUGUAACCCAAGCCAUGGAGCAGCACUAGAUACUAAUAGGUCAACAUCCUCAUCAAACAUACUAGCAUUUUCAUCAAUGAAUUGGCGGAGAUAGCGAGCAGCUUCCUCCCGCCCCAUCCCCCCCCCCCGGCCAUGUUCCAUUCACUGUGUUUCUGAGUAAGGUGAGCAGGAUUCAGCCCAUUAGCUUUUAUUUUCUGUGAAGAGCAACCAAAGCCUUACAGAGAGAGAGAGAGUCAGUCAAUUUAUGGCCAAUAAACAUAAAAGCCGAGACGGUAUCAAUGAAACAUUCUUCUCUAAACCAGAGGUCACUAAUUCUCCACUUAUUCCAUUCUGUGGUUUCAGAAAGUUUAAUUUCAGGGUGAGGAUGUGGGCUCUGGCUGUUGGUAAAAAGUUUUCUCUGGCAUGGCGGGGGGGGGGAGGUUAAGCACAUAUAAAUUUAAAUGGGUGGAAUCAGCCCCGGUGAAUUAAUUUGAGGACAAAUAAGAGUAUGUUUCCUUCUCUCCCCCCCCCCCCAGUAGUACACCAGCUGUCAUUUUUUGAUGAGGAGUGUGUGUGGAUUGGGGAGGGGACCGGGAUUUAUUUUUGAAACAUAACUUCGUGCCUGAUUCAUUGCGGUUAGUGUCACCAAACUACAGGCGAACGCGAGUUAGUGUGGCCAUUAACAUUCUUAAAUUCUAGAACCUGUCAGGAGGCAGAUAAGGUAGGGCAGGAUCCGCACACCUCCCCAACCUCAAUACUUGGGAUGUUUGCAAUAUGUUUCUAUUUUCGUCACACCUAUGUGUGGCUAUCCAUCUGGUCUUAAUCAAUCAGUAUCAUCCCGGAGCUUUGCUGUUCUCCCCAGCUGAAAUAAUACACUCCUUCCAUCGCAGGCUUCUGCCUCAAGGAGGGUCACUUCUCAUGAUUCCCCAGCCAAGGCACAUUAACAAGGCUUACAUAUUUGUAAACAUAGGUAAACCCAGGAGGGGAAGAUGGGAUGGAACAUUUUGAAAGAUGAAUAUUUUAUGAAUAAACCACUGUGAUGUUUAUUUAGUGAUAUUACAUAGCAAAACUUGAUGAAGUACCGGAGGUAAAUUUGUUUUAGCAAAAGGGGAAGGCAGGGUACCCUCAGACGUGCAGAGACAAAGAUAAGUGAUGCAGGAAUGAAUGAUCUGAUGUGCCACCCCUAUUUAAGCCGCCAAGGAAGCUUGUUUAUAAAAUAUGUCCCUCCAAGUGCAGGGAAAGUGGGUGGCGAAUCCUGUAAACUGUGCCAUUUAUUUAUUUAGAUUGCACAUCAGGAGAUAAAACAAAUGAAAAUUCCAACUUGUUAAUAAUUUACAUUUAAGUGGAAAAUUCUUCCAUGCUGUUAAGAUACCUCCAAGACCUGACACUGUAAAGGCAAAUAAUUUACAUUCUUUGUGCACAGACAACUCGGCUCAUUUUCAAAAGGAAAAAAAAAGUAGAGUGGGGAUAAAAAUGUGUGUUCAAGAUACAUUUACUGUUUUCAUCCUUCUGCGUUUGCUGUUUCACCCCCUCCCCCCCGAAAUAGAUGCGAACUUCUUUUUUGAACUUCGCCUCACCGUUCAUCAGGUGUUCCUUGCACACAAUCCGCACAACCUAGGAGGUUCGCAAUGUGAGAAGGAAGCUUUUCUUUUCAACACUAUUACUUCCCACACCAACAGCUUGUGCAAAGAAAGUUUUUUCCCCCUCUCUGGGGUGGGGGAAGACGCCUGAAUAAAAAAUAAAUAAAAAAGAGGAGUGUGCAUAACAAUAAAUACCUCUGUUCUGGGGCUUUUGUUCUUUUUUUUUAUGUCAGGGGACUUUUUAGCUGCGCUGCCUGGGUUACUGCUCUGGAAGGUUGGGAGAUCUCUUGUUGAAGGAGGUUUGUGAUUGAAGGCCCUCUGACACAACCUUUUGUUGGCCUGAGGUGUUUGAUCCUCUUUUCCUUUUCUUCUUCUUUUUUAAAAAACCCAACCCCAUCCCUUUAAAAAUGGAUAACCAGCACUUCUUUUACUUAUUGUCUGCUAUUGGAGAGAGUUACUGGGGGGGGCUGUAUAAGUUUAACUAGUUAACCCUUUGCCUACUAAUAGGUUUCAGACACAUCACACUUAAAAACAAAACAAAAAAGUAUGUGGAAUAUUUUCGUAGCUUUGCCAGGUAUGCAAAUCCUCUUUCCUGCAAAGUCAUGUGCCCUGCAUACCCCUGGACUUUAGGUUUCAACUGUGCUCUUGUAAAAAGGUUUGUUCCCACAUCCCACUGACCCUACGCUCAGAUAAUUUAGAAACCCAAUACAAGUGCUGAAACCUGCAUGUUAGAAAUUGGCUAUCCUAAAGCACAUUGAUCACUGAUAUUGUGCCUGCUGGCAUGUUUCCUAAGCUUACCUUCCAUUAAGACAUGAAGGAAUUCUCAGGAGCACAAGCUGAUCUGCAGCAGUUUCCUUGCACUGGAAAGGGGGACUCCAGCAACAAUGGGAGUUACUUUUCAGAACUAAGUGUAAAAAUCCGAAACUAAGAAAGAAGAGCAUCUUAAAAUAAAAAAUACCAGUGUGUUUGCUUCCUAGGAGCUUUGUGAAUCAAGGCUAGAAUAUCUCCACCCCCCACCCCCAAAAACCCACUGAAGAGACACAACCCAGGCUGUAGGCAAGGAAAGCAGCUUAAAUGGAUUAUUUAACAAAAAGCAACUUAUGGUUUCCAGAUAGUGACCUACAUUCGGCAUACAAAGAUGAUGUUUUAUGGUGGUGAUAGGGUUAAUAACCUAACAUCAUUCAUGUAGUGUUUUUUUGAAAAUUGAAUUUUACUGCUACAAAGUAAAUGUAACAGCCCUCUAGAGACAAUAUUACAGGCACUUUAUUGUUUGCUAAGCUGAUGUCAUCUUUCUACAGACUGACUUUAAAACAAAGGCAGAACAUUUAUUACAAAUAUCACUGUGUGAAAGGAAAUCUACUGAAAUACUGUUUAGAAGGUGAACUGAUAAAAAAAAUAAUUGUACUCAAGAUUGGCUUUGAUCAUCUGCAGAGUUAUGCUGGCUGGAUCAUUCUCAUGUGAUUCCCUACCCCCCACCCCCACCCCCAAAAUCCUCCAUAUUUUCUAUAUUGGAUUUGCAGUCACUAAUUUUCUUAAUAUUUUUCAUCUCUGAGCAUGGGUUUUAAUCAAUAUCUGGUUUUUUAAAUUCCUUUAAAACUUUCUGUGUAUUUCAUGGGAGGAUCUGAUAGAUGAAUGAUUUUUAAUCCACCAUUUUAAUGCAGAGAGAUAAAUGCUGCUUAUUAGCUUUAAUGAAAGCACUUAUCCAACACAAUUUUUAACCCUCCACUGUUAAAAAAAGUGUGUGCAUCCCAAUAUUGCAUUAUAGUUCCAUACCCCACACAAAUAUGCGAAGACUAAAGGUAUAUAUUUGGGCUUAGUUUUUUCAUAAUUUACUGAUGCCUAGGGGCACGCUAAUAAAAAUGGCAGAACAUCUGAACUCUUUAGAAGCCAAAUUCCCUAUUAACUUCUAUGAGACUGGAGGGCUCAGCACUUCAGAAGAUUCAGUAGUUUUUGUCAAGCUAGAUUACAUCAUUUUAGGAACUUGAUUUGAAACACUCAACUUUGGGCAGGGGAAAGGGAAGAGAUGUCAUGGGGACACACUAAAGCAGAUCCUUGCUUUCAGCUACCAGACGGCUUCAUUAGUUUCUUUCCUUGCACUUUCAAAUAUUACCCAAGCAAACUAACUUAUUUUAUUUUUAAAAGGCAAACGAUGUGCUAUGUUCUUUUUGUUUCUAACCCCUCCAGAUUUCUAUUAAUGUUGUCAGAUGCCAGGGGUGGAACAGCAAAAAAUCAAAGAACUUUUUGAUUAUUUUUUUUUGAAUGGCUAGAAAAUGUUCAUCUCUGUUGAUUCUUCACAUGAAGCAGAAAGCUAAAGGAAGAAAGCAGAUGACUAGCAGCUUUGCGUAGCUCUGGGAAAAGGGUGAACAUACAGGUGAAAAUGAAGGGUGGCAUAUAGGCGAGGAAGAGUAAAUAGAGUAGAAAAAUUGUCAAUAUGUGCUAUGAGUCAAAGGAGCUCAUUUGAUGGCUUUGUGGGUGAAGCAUGUAUUCCAAAAGCGGACUUUUACCUGCACUACUAAGCAGAGGUUUAUAUUCACGACUUCUUGUUAAAUAUGUAAUGCUGACGGGCAGUGCCUGUCUAAAUCACUGGGAUUAAAACUGGCAAUUGGACUGUAACAGUUCGUUUUCAAUGUGCUCAGAGCAAAGUUUGCCAGUUGCCAACAAUUACCCAAGCAAGUUUGACUUCUUUCGCUUAAUGCUCAUAUGUUCUGAUAUUUGAAUAUUAUUUUGCACAUCAAGCAAAUCUACAUCUGGCAUAAAGCAAGAUUUUGCUGUGCCUUGUCUCAGUCGUGUCAACUGUCCCCAUGCCUUUGUACUUGCUCAGUUGUUAUGUUCGGAACCAGGUUCUCUUUGGAAAAGAAAAGCUUUACAAUUUGGUUACGACAGAUCUCCUUUCCAUGAGCAAUCAAAAUUGCAUGCCAACUCAGGUUAAAGAUUUCGGUCCAUAGAAUGCAACACCUAGGAAGUCCUCCAAUUAUUUUAGAUACUCACAGAACUAUUCCUCCUACUGGUGACACAGCAGCCUAUCUGGGAGCUUGUCAAUUGUUCUAGUACUAGAUUAAGGAAAUAGGCCUACAAUCAUAUACAUUGGUGACUACCAUUCCAGUAUCAUCUAUUGAGCUGAUGGGAGUCCAACAUCUGGAGGGACCCAUAUUGGCAGCCACACUUACUUGGGCAUAAUCCUCAUUGAAUUCAGUGUUAUGUACAUCUGAGUAUAUGUGCAUAAGACUGCGCUAUAAAUGUGACAUUCUCUCCCCACCCCCAUCCACAGUCCUUCGUCAUCUUCCUUGCCCUUCAUCUAAAAGCUAGCUCAAAUUAUCCCUUUAGGGCCUUGGGUUUUUUGUCAUUAUGGGUUAAUGGGUGGGGUGGUGAGAUUCAUGGCAAAUAAUGGCUCCAUUUCAGUACUGUACUUGUUUCCUCCAGUUCCUCAGAAGGGCCUUUGUUUAGAACGCAUCGCAUUCUUACUUGUACACUGUUUAAUUUGAAGAAAUUCUAAUGAGAGCUUCUCUGAUCAGGAAUCUGAACAAGAGAUUUAAUUUGCUCUGCAAAUCUCUGUGCGUGUGUUCAGUCAAAAUGUGCAAAUUCAACCGAGGGUCCAAAAAAAAAAAAAGUCAAGUAGAUUUGAAAAUAAGACUUUUAAAAAAGGGUUGACUGAUUUGACCCGAAGAGGAAGUGACGGUGCUGUGAACCUGAAUUGCUGGGCAGAAGUUGACACAGAUCACCUCAGCUUAGUCUCACCUCCAUCACCUGGUUGUAUGCUUGGAACAGAUGCAGUUCAUUCUGAUAAAGGCUUGUUCCACAGAGCAUAACUCAAAAGUGAGACACAGCCAGUCAGGAUUCCUGAAUGAGUAUACGUGUGUGAUUCACAUAUUUGCAAACAUGUGUUUGCCACAUUCACACUCUACAUUUUCAGUUGCACACUUUAAGCAUCUCUGAGGGAAAGUAAUUAGUGUGGGAAGUAGCCCAAUAAGACCUGACAUAAAGAAACGCAACGAUGUUCCAGAUCUUGAGCUAUGUUGUCAAAGACCUAAUGCAAAGACUGUUUCUAGCUUCCAAUGGGCUUUGGAGUCACACAGUCUCAUCUCCAGGAGUCAGUACUCUUACAAGCUCACCUUUUCUGAGAGGCAAUUUGAUGUGGGAGAAGUUGGCCUGAUUCAUGUAACUUUUUCUGACUGCUUUACUAAAUGACAAUAUGAGAGUCGGUGCCAGCACCAAUAGCCUCUUUUAGGGCUUAUCCACACUCCCUCUUGUCGCACUGCUUUCCCCUGGGGAAAAUGCUCUUUAGUGCUCAAUCAGAGCAAACGGCAACUCGGGGUUCCGCCAGAUUGACAUUUGUUCCAAUCUAUCGCUGAAGAGUAGGUAUUGCCUUAUAAAGGAGCGGGGCAAGGGGAAAACCACUCAGGCCCAUGCUUAGAAAGUAUGGGUCCAGCACAACAUGGCUCUAACCAUGCUUGCUAGGCAUGGCACAAAUGGGAGGAUGGACAAGCCCUUAGGUCUUUGUAUCCACUAGUAUCAGUAGUGAAUCUGUGUUUGAGUUACCACUUACUUCAAAUUUAACAGAUGCCACAGCGACCUUAUAGAGCAGGGGUUACCAAACUGUGGUCUGUGGACCACCAGUGGUCUGUGACCUUCAUUCAGGUGGCCUGGGGGGUGUCUGCAAAGAGGGAGCAGAGGCUGGGAACGGUGGGUGCAGCGUGUUAAAUAUUCGUAUUGAUUUUUAAUUGUGUUUUUAUUGCUUCUUUCAUUUCUCAUAUUGCGCCUUAUUAUUUAUUGUUGCCUUUUAUGUUGGAAUUCAAAUGGCAACGCUAUAAAAUGCAAUGUAAGAAAUAAAAGAAGCAAUAAAAACCAAUUAAAAAUAAUACAGAAUCUAGCACACCACAUUUCAACAGGCAGAAAAAAACAAUAAGUGGUCCAUCAAGACCAGGGGUCAGCAACCUUUUUCAGCCGUGUGCCAAUCCACCGUUCCUCAGACCAUGUGGUGGACUGGAAUAUAUUUGGGGGGGGUGAACGAAUUCCUAUGCCCCACAAAUAACCCAGAGAUGCAUUAAAAGCACACAUUCUACUCAUGUAAAAACACACUGAUUCCCAGACCGUCCGCGGGCUGGAUUGAGAAGGUGAUUGGGCCGCAUUCGGCCCCUGGGCCUUAGGUUGCCUACCCCUGAUCAAGACCAUCAGCCAUUUUCAAGUGAUCUGUAGCAGGGUGUGAAGUUCGGGGACCACUGCUAUAGAGCACUGUUUUUGUUUGCAUACCGCAAACAUUUUUAUUAUUAGCUUUAUUUCUAUGCUAUUCCUUUGUCCAAAGAGAUCACAAUAAUGAAUCCAUAAGCUACAGCAAAAAAACUGUAAAAUCAGAAUCAAAACAUUAUGUACAAUAAACAGCUUAAUAAUUCUGUAGUAUUCUGAUGUCUGACAUGGCUCCCAUUAAUACUCAGACUGACUGAGUAAAAAUGCCUCCAGCUUAUGCUGAAAGAUUGCCAAUGAAGGGGAUGAUUGAACUGCCAAAUGGAAGCAGUUCCACAGUCAGGGAGCCACUGCGGAGAAAGCCCUGUCCUAAGUAAUUGCAAAACAUACCUCUAGCAAAAGGUAGGACCCCAACAAGGCACAGGCCAGUACAUAUUGGAAAAAGCAGUCUUUCGUGUAUUUUGACCCUGAGCCUUUGUGUGCUUUAAAUACUAGUUUCAAAACAUUAAAUCCGGCCCUGUAAUAUAUAGAAACCCAAUGCAGUUUGGAACUAUAAGCAACUGAGCACAUGCUUUUUUUUGCCUCAGAUGUUUUUCCUUCUUUUUGUUAUCAGGAACUUAAAGAAAUAAACAGCCACCGCACAGAGAAAACUUAAUAGUUGCAAGGAAUAUGGCUAACAGUCUUGAAAAAAAAAUUGUUUGAAACAGAGAGGUUCAGGCCAAGUCCUGGGCAUUCUUGAAUAUUUGAUGUGCUAAAUCCCAGAUCCAAAAAAAAUAUUUCUAAGUUGUAAUGAGGUUGUUGGAAGUGUGGAUCAGAUUCUCUAACCUACAAGAGGCAAAUAUGCACCCCCCCUUUUUUUAAACCAGAUGAAAUGUUAGAACAGUGUACUGUGUGAAGCACUGCCCAUUUUUCUGCACAAUUUUAGUUACAAUCGAAUUCACAGAGGCUUUAAGAGGGAGGAAAAACAACAACAAUGGGUAUAAUCACACACUGGAACCUAAGAAUUAGGUUUUGAUGAAGCGUGAUGGAAGAACCAAAAUCUUGAGGAAUGCUUUCCAAAUAACCAGAGAAAAAUAAACCGUUCCUUAUGUCAGUCUUGUUAGAGAGGGAUUAAGAAACUGGCAAUUAUUUUGGCGACCUUAAUUGUUGCUCUGCAGGAAAAUAUGUAAUUAGAGCACGUUCGCAGGCCCGCACACCUGCAGCACAUCCUACAGUAUAAUGUCAGCUUUCAGUGCUUGCCCGUGCCAGGUUCUAUCACAACCAGUCACAGUGAUGCUCUGAGAACAUUUCGGACUCAUGUAAUGUGGCUUCUGUGUAUGAAAGAAGCAGGCAUUUACACUGGCAUACAAUGGAGGGCAUUACUGUAACACUGGUUUCAUUCUUUUCCAAACGCCUACCUUCAACGCCGCUCUGGUUUACUCAGUUUGAGGUUUUAUUGUUACGGUAUAAUAGUCCUGUACAUUUCUGAAAUUCCCUUAUUAUACAGCUUAUUAAUACAGCACUGGCUUGAUUAUCAGGCGACAGUUGUGAAGGGGAAGAUUCAGCGUGCGAGCGAAGCCAGAAGCUGGACGAAUGCUAAAUAAGAAUAAUUGUGUUCGGGGCAUUUUGAGUAUAUAGAAGUGUGCAGAUGCCAACAAGUGUGUAUUCAGAGAGAGGACACACACACACACACACACACACACACACAUUACAGACACAUUUGUGUUGCAACAGACCUAAAACAUAGGGACUUUUUUGUGAGGGUUUUUUGUUGUUGUUGUUUUGCUUUUGUUUUGCUGCAGUUUGAAAGGUUCUGUGCACCACCAUCUCAUGAAACUUUCCAGUUUUGCUCCACCUCUUCCCCUCCUUUAUUACCUUUAAUUUUAAAACUUGGGAGGUUUGAAACGCUAGGGUUUCUUUUUCUUGGAAUAAAAAGGGGGGAGCACAGUAGAGGGAAUAACUGUCUUACAGCUAAAUUCAGUAAGCUGGCAUGCUGAUAGUUAACAGACUUCUUCCCCUAAGGGAGAUACACUGUAUUUUGCUAUCUGACAUGUUGUCAUAUAUAAAGAAAUCAAUUGGUAAUUAAAUGAUGCACCUUGUGAAGAUGACAAAAGGCAUUUGGUUGCGAAAAGAGAACUGGGUUGUGAGGGGUUUGUAAUGAAGGCCUAAUGACUAUUCAUAAGAGAUUUUCAGUCCGUUGAUCCACUUGACUGGAAAGUUCUGCCCUGGAGAGUUAGUGCUGUCAGUUUCUCUCACCUCAGAAAGCCGCCGCAAUCGACGGUGUAGAGUAUGAGCGAGAAAUUAUCUAGUUUUUGCUUCAGGCCUGUCUUAGGUCACAUGCAGAAGGCACACAUCUGGCUUCCUGUAGGUGCAACCUCAGGACAUAAACUUUGACUAAUUUUUAAACUAUAAAUAUGUAAGACUGACACUGAAUAAGUUACCUUUUAUUCACAUUUUCACGUAUUUUUUGGCACAUCAAAGGAAGAUACCAUUUUGGCCUCCCUAUGCUACUCAUAUUUCAGUAAUUGCAAUAUAUUUCCUUCAUGUGACAAAGCGUUUUGCAUAGGAAGUUUCCAUUUCUGUCACUGGACCUUUCUUCCUUUUGUUUCAUUCUGUAGAGUCAACUAACCAGUUAGAAGUAAUUUUUUUACAGUUACCUUGAGACUCAACAAAGAGUAGUGUCAGGAGGAAUUACUGAUCUGCCUAGUUUCUCUUGAGUAGCUUACUUUCAUUUUGAGGGUUUCUCAGGUCACUAGAACAUAAGCUGGCGAUAUGAGAGCCACCAGCAAGCUGUUCUUUUAAGGGUCUUCUCUGAUGCAUCGCCUCUUCAGUCAAAAGUAUAUUUUUAGAUGGUCAGAUUUUAAACUACAGUUCCCGGCAUUCUUUGGUGGAAGCCAUGGGCCUUAAAUGUAAGGUGUGGAUGUGACCUCACAGCACUGCAAUUCCUGAGGCAAAUCCUACAGCCUACCUAUGAGUGAAUGCUAGGAAACCCUUAGCAAACAGCAAGGCAGUGACAUAAAGGCCACUACAUGGUCUUGCAUGGAACUUAGCCACUCAGGCGUCAUCGCCCCUACUCUGUCUUCAGUGUAUCACUUCAGUGGGGAUUCACAUGAUGGAUUGCUAAUUCGUUAAAAAGAAUAUUCCACUACAUUGACAACUAGCAUGUCAGAGAGAUGGGUGCCUUAGAAGAUGCUAGGUUGGUAUGUGGUGAUGUAGUGUAGUCCUGAUACAGGAUUUACCACCUAGUGUGAACAUGGCCUAGGAUAAGGUGGAACUGGUGUACUGACUAGAAGAUGAAGCACAAAAAAAUCCUGCUAAUUAUAAUCCUUUGGCAAAAGAUAACAAAAAACUAAAGGAAGUGUUUACAAGUGACCAGGCACUGAUGAUUACUUCGUAGGACUUGGUAUAACGACAGUAUUCAUUGACUCUGUACAUAUUUGCUUUUAAAAAGCAACUCUCUGGCUUAUCUUGUCAACUCACCUUAUCAAAGGCAACUUCAUUCAUCUCCCCCUCCCCAUGGGUACUUGAGACUAGAAUAACAUUUGCAGAUUAGAAGCCUCUUCACACAGCCAUUGGCUAUCUGGGAGAUGCAGGAAAAUGCACUCGAAAAAUCAGAGAUCUUGGUAUGCUUAGAAUUUUGAAGCCAGCUGAUUUUGGUUGUGUGAAUCAGCCACAAGGCAUCACAAGCAUUGCUCCAAACACGCAUGGCAUGAGAAAACAAUAUGGCAAACCUCAGAGGUUUCCAUCUGCCAACAGUGGGAUCAGCUGAGUAAUUCAAUACAUUAUGCAAUAUUGCAGAAGGCAUUGAUGGUGUUCCCGCCUUGUGUGUUGUGGUUACUGAGUUUUACCGAUGUGUUUGCUGGAGCUGACAAAGUGAACCAACUGAAUGGACAAAUGCCAAAAAAACAAUUAUGUUUAUUAAUGUGCAUUGAUUACUUGUUUAGGAUAUAAGAGAAAAUUUUAAAAAAUGCAUUAGUAUUUAAAGCUUUUUAUAGCUAGGCUAAUGAUUGCUUGUAAUAUAGUGUUUAGUAAAGGCCAUUCUAUGAUACCUAUAAGUCUCAGCUUUGUUGUCAAAUUAGUUGACUUUGAUUUACAGGGUUGUCACUAUUAGUAUAAAUCUUUAUUUCUUUAAAUAGGAGUUACCUAUUUUCAGUCACAUUGAAUAAUAUAAAUCAGUGCCAGUAUACCUGUUGAUUCAAUAGGAUUGUUUCACAUGAAAAGUAUUAUGGUUGCCAGAUUCAGGCUUUUAGGUAUAUACAGCAAAUACAUCAAAAUGUGGCCUACCCAUCAUAACAGAUUGGAAGUCAAGGGUUAACUCUGACUUCUCUCAUGUUAACAGUUAGGAGAGGACUUGUCUAAAAUGCCCUACAUUAUCGUCUGUAAAGAGACUGCAGUAGUAUCUCUGUGGCAGCUUAUAUGUGAAGGGAAUUUGAUCUGGUGCAUGUAAAUGUAUGUUUCUGAGCAUCCUGGCUAGGAAGUAAAGCCCCUUGAAUUCAAUAAGCCUUCGGCAUACAUUUGUUUUGGUAAGACCUUGCUACUUCUAUGCUUAAAGUCUCUAAUGCUCCAGUAACUCCAGAUUAGACUACUGUCGUGUACUUUAUUUUGGGCUGUCCUUGAAGACAGUCCAGAAGCUUUAUUCAUUUCAGAAAGUAGCUGCCAGGGUUCUGACUGAAGCCAGUCUUUCAUAUCAUAUCACAUUGAUCUUGCAACAGGUAUAUUGGUUGCCAGUUUGCUUCCAGGAUCAUUUCAAGAUCAUGGUUUUUACUUUUAAAGUCCUAAAUGGCAUGAAACAAAAAUAUCCCAAGGUCCUGCAUGUGCAAAACUAUUUUUUUCUCCACCGCCAAAAAUAUUGUGCACAAAUAGCUGACACAGGGGUGCUGUCCCCCCACCCCACCCGUCAUCUGUGACGCCCAAAAUUUCAAAGCCUUCCAAGAGACAUCUUCCUGACACAAUCUCUGCUCACUUUUAGCCAGUAGCAAAGACAGUAGCCCUAUUGGGCAUUUGGUCUCCUUAUGUAUAAGCAAACCUAUGAGGAGAAAUGAGGGCAUGGUGCAGAAUCGUGCCCUUUCCAAUAUAUCAUCUGUACCCAGCUGAGAACCCCCCAUGAGUUUAAGGACAAAAGUCUAGAGCUGAUUCUACUUGUGCGGACUGUCUGUGUGAUUAAAAAGGGUUUUGAGGCGAUUGGACCUCUGAACAGGGCUAAAGUUAUUCCACUUUAAUUUCAAGUUAUCCCUUUUUGUUUUAUGCUGCGGCUGUCUUUCUGAUUCAUUUUGGUUUAGCCCAUUUUGUUUGGUAUGACUGUAACGGUUGUUUUAUUAUUGUUGCAUCUUGUAUUUAUCAUCUCUCUCUCUCUCUCUCUCUCUCUCUCUCACACACACACACACACACACACACAUAUAUAGCUGAGGUGUACAAUUUGUUAAGAAAAAUAAAUAAAAUAAAAAUAUGCUUAUUUCUGCUAACCCCAUGAGCUGGCUCCCUCCCUAGUCCCAACAACGGAGGAGGAAUUAGCAAAAUUGAAUUCAUGAAACAGGGUCUAUUGAAGUAUGAAACCCAACACACAACACCCUUUUUUGUGGGUGCUACUUACACAUUUGUUUUAGCGCUAACGUGUCAAGUCGCACUGCAGGAAUCUCUUGUUUGAGCAGGUAUUAGGCUGUCUUGCUAUUCUUAUUCAGGAUUCCAUUUCAGCCUGGUCAGGACUUAUUAGAAGGAAAAGGUCAAGUAGUCCAGAUCUCACAUCAUGUCCCCUGUCCAGCCCCACACAGAUGAAACAGCACGCCCAAAGGGUUCCCUUUGAGGGACAAUGUAAAGCCCAUCUCAGUAACUUAUCUGACAUAAAUCAAAUGUAGCUGUAUCAGCAUGUGGCUUAAUUAUGUCUGGGUUCUACUCCAAAGCUGCUAAAUAAUUUCUAAAAGUAUUUACUUUAAGCCUGUGCAAGGUGUCUGCAUCAAUGUAAGAAAAGGGCAGCGCUGAGAGUAACGGAAGUUGCCAAGUCAUGAAACAGUGGUCAUGUUGUCAAGCUUAUGAUCAUAACAUGACAUCUAGCAAAACUAGGCUUUAGGGUGGCUAUUAGAACACCGGAUUGGAACCUGAACUAUGUGUAGCAUAACGUGGCUGUACUUGGCCCUCUCUCUCUCUCUCUCUCUCUCUCUCUCUCUCUCUCUCUCUCUCAUUUUAUUCCCAUCCUUUCCCCCUUUCACUUUGGUUACAUAUCUUAACAAGAAGGCUUUGCAUUUUAACAUGGAAUAACAUAGCUGUUAUCAUUUUUUAAAUUUAGAUUUAUUUCCCACCAAGGGUGGCUUACAGUAAUUUUAAAAUACAAUAUCAAAACAGUUUAAAAAAAAAUUAAAGUCAAGGGAACGGGGUGAGUCCUAAAAUAUAUAUCUCUCAGGUGUUGCAGGCCAGGAUAUUUACCAGUAAUAUCUAAAAAAAUAAUAAUAAAUAUGCCGAUAUAUUUUAAAUGUCACACUUCUGAGAAAGGGCAGUGUUGGUUAUGCAUUCAUCGUUUAUCUCCAGCUUUGGAUUUGUAUUCCCCAAUAAUGCACCUUGACUGAUUUCAAAUCAGCACCUGUUUCCCUAGUGCGAUUUCCGGAUGCGGCCCCUCUGAAAAAGCUACGCUAACUUCCCCAGCUUUCAAAAAGCCACACUUUGGAAAACGACACUAAUGGAAUACCCCUGUAUAAAGUUCUUUCCACGGUGGCCAUCCCUGUUGAAAGUAAUGGGGCCUGACAGUUCCUUAGUUAAAAAUCAUACAGAAGGGUCACUUUUCCUUAAAUUAUCUAUUGAAUGCCAGCUGUUCACAACUUCAGCUGCCUCGCUCGGUUUCCGCUGCUUAAAAUGUCUCCAGCUUUCGCGCAACGUUUGUCUCGGAAGAUGUCACCCAAAAAGUUUGUGGAUAGUAACACCUCGGUGGAAGUAACUCACUGCAAAUGCACUUUGCAUUUGUCCUUGCCUGUGGUGGCUAAGCGAGGCGGUGGUGACAGCAGGGUGUCUGUGUGGCGAGGAGGGGGGAGGAGGACUAAAGUCUGGAGAAUGUUCAGGUUAUUCAUGCUGCCUGUUGCUGCACUUGAGUUAUAUCAUAAUUUCCCAUUUGCUGCACAACUUUAUUCUAUUUUUAUGCUUCUGAGUGAUGGGGCUUUAAGUACUCACAAUUGAUACUUCCGUGGUGUGAGCCCUAUCAGAGGCCACCUCUGAUAGAUAAAGCUCUCUUUUUCUCUCUCUUUUUUGCUGGAGAGUGGGGAAUGGGGUCACAGUCAAGGGCCUUCCUUUUCUCUGCUCUAUUAAAGCUAUAGCCAUUCUGGAGCUUCUCUCUCUCUCUCUCCCCUUCCCUUUCAUGAAAGGAAACUACACUCAGAUCAUGCUUAUUUCACUAUCAAAGCUCCCACACUCAAAUGUUUCUCAUUACUGGCCAAAAUGAGCAAUGGUCAUCUUUGGAUCAUAAUUAGAAGCCUUACUC